rnacentral:rRNA from 1 species
CCUACGGGGGGCUGCAGUGGGGAAUAUUGGACAAUGGGGGGAACCCUGAUCCAGCCAUGCCGCGUGUGUGAAGAAGGCCCUCGGGGUGUAAAGCACUUUCAGUGAGGAAGAACGCCUGGUGGUGAAUACCCAUCAGGAAAGACAUCACUCACAGAAGAAGCACCGGCUAACUCCGUGCCAGCAGCCGCGGUAAUACGGAGGGUGCGAGCGUUAAUCGGAAUUACUGGGCGUAAAGCGCGCGUAGGUGGCUUGAUAAGCCGGUUGUGAAAGCCCCGGGCGCAACCUGGGAACGGCAUCCGGAACUGUCAAGCUAGAGUGCAGGAGAGGAAGGUAGAAUUCCCGGUGUAGCGGUGAAAUGCGUAGAGAUCGGGAGGAAUACCAGUGGCGAAGGCGGCCUUCUGGACUGACACUGACACUGAGGUGCGAAAGCGUGGGUAGCAAACAGGAUUAGAUACCCGGGUAGUC